UACAGAGGGUGCGAGCGUUAAUCGGAAUUACUGGGCGUAAAGCGUGCGUAGACGGUUAUUUAAGUCGGGUGUGAAAGCCCCGGGCUCAACCUGGGAAUUGCAUUCGAGACUGAAUAGCUAGGGUACGGUAGAGGGAAGUGGAAUUUCCGGUGUAGCGGUGAAAUGCGCAGAUAUCAGGAAGAACACCCGUGGCUAAGGCGGCUCUCUAGUACGGUACUGACGCUGAGGCGCGAAAGCGUGGGGAGCAAACAGG
rnacentral:rRNA from 1 species